CGAGAAAUAGUUUAAUUGGACUGUAAAAUGCUAGUUUUGGGGACUAGCGAUGGGAGCUUAAAAGUCCCUUUCUUGA
rnacentral:tRNA from 1 species